rnacentral:rRNA from 1 species
AAUGAACGCUGGCGGCGUGCUUAACACAUGCAAGUCGCACGAGAAAGCCUUGGCUUGCCAGGGCGAGUAAAGUGGCGCACGGGUGAGUAACGCGUGGGUAAUCUACCCUCGAAUUUGGGAUAACCCCUCGAAAGCGGGGCUAAUACCGGAUAACAUCACAGUUUCUUAGGAGGUUGUGAUCAAAGGUGGCCUCUACAUGUAAGCUACUGUUUGGGGAUGAGCCCGCGUACCAUUAGCUAGUUGGUAGGGUAACGGCCUACCAAGGCGACGAUGGUUAGCUGGUCUGAGAGGAUGAUCAGCCACACUGGAACUGACACACGGUCCAGACUCCUACGGGAGGCAG